UUACAACUUUGGGAUUUUAUUAUCUGUAUACCUGCACCCCAAGCUAUUUGUUUACAUCGAGGUACAAGGGGUUAUAACAAUAUGAAAUUUCCAAAGAUAAUUUAAUUAAUUUAAACUCCUGUCUCGACCUGUUUAAAUGUUAAAUUAAUUUUUUUUUUUUACAAAAAUUUAUGUACAACUUUAAUUUUGACGAAAUUUUCAUAAAGUUUUAUUAUUUUGGGAUUUAUCUGUAUAUGUUUACACUUAAGUACAAAGGGUCAUAGGAAUAUUGUUGAAAAAUCCCAAAGGUAAUUUAAUUAAUUGAGAUUCCUGUCUUGACCUGUUUAGAUUUAGUCAACGUGAAAGUAUAAAUUUUGUAAUAUUAAUAUAACAGCAAAUUUAUUUAUUUCAGAAAAGUUAUUCCGGGAGUGCUCGAAUUUUUUAAAUCGCGAACGAAAAUAUUUUAUAAAAAGUUUUUUUUUAAGUGUUUUAUUUCUUAAUUUAAAUGUAAAUUAUUGAGCGUUCAAAACUUUAAAUCGCGAGUAUUCAGAAGAUCUGUUUCAAAAUAAGUGACAACAGCGAAUGGAAGCUAAGAAAAGUUAUUAAUUCCGGGAGUGCUCGAAUUUUUUAAAUCGCGAACGAAAAUAUUUUAUAAAAAGUUUUUUUUUAGUGUUUUAUUUUUUAAUUUAAAUGUAAAUUAUUGAGCGUUCAAAACUUUAAAUCGCGAGUAUUCAGAAGAUCUGUUUCAAAAUAAGUGACAACAGCGAAUGGAAGCUAAGGAAACAUACAAGAUUAUAUGAAGAAAAAAAAUGGAAGGUGUGCCUGAAAUAAAAGAUUAAUUCCCCGGAGAGAAAUUUCCGUCUUUUAAAAAACAAACCAGAGGAACAAACACGAAAACUCAAGGAGUUCAAGAAAACCUAUCCUAUAUCGGAAAUUUGAAAAAGUGGAAAUAGAAAAGACAAAAACUGAAAAGACUAGUACUCUAAAAUAAAAUUGAAAACCUUUAAACCUUUCUUAAAAAUCCUAUUGAAACUUUGAACCCUAAUGAAAACUAUCUUGAAACUCGUACAAAAGUUAAAAUGUUCAAUAGUGUUUUCAUGAGGUUUGAAAGGUUUAAAAGUUGAAUAGGCUUUUUAUGAUGGUUAAAGGUUAAAAUUUUUAGAGUUCCAAAUACGGAGUGCUUGCAAUGUAAAAAUAUACUUCAGCGUCUGAUAUAAUAAAAAGAAAAUUGAAAAGACAAAAUUAUCAACGUGGUAAUCCAAUUUUUUAAACAAAACCGAAAAGACACUUAGAAAUUAACAUUACCGACUUCUAGUAAAAAUUGAAAAAUGAUAAUAUAAAAAUUACCGGCAUAGGAAUCUACCUUACCGACUGAUGGUAAAACAGUUUUUUGAAAAAUGAAAAUAUAAAAAAUUACCGACGUAGGAAUCUACCUUACCGACUGAUGGUAAAACAGUUUUUUUUGAAAAAUGAAAAUAUAAAAAAUUACCGACGUAGGAAUCUACCUUACCGACUGAUGGUAAAACAGAUUUUUUGAAAAAUGAAAAUAUAAAAAAUUACCGACGUAGGAAUCUACCUUACCGACUGAUGGUAAAACAGUUUUUUUGAAAAAUGAAAAUAUAAAAAAUUACCGACAUAGGAAUCUACCUUACCGACUGAUGGUAAUUACCGACUGAUGGUAAAACAGUUUUAAUUUUUUUGAUUUUUCCAAAACUGUUUUACCAUCAGU